rnacentral:piRNA from 1 species
UGAGCUGGAGACGGGUCCUCCAUGAAGCCU